AUAUUAGUAUAGUAAUAAACUUUUGUUGAUAAAUUUCUUUAUGUUAAAAAUUAGACGAAUUUNAAGAUAGGAGAUAAGUUUAUGAUUUUUUAGAAAAUAAAAAUAGAAUUUAUAAAAAUUCUGGCGAAGCCUGUGCCAGCAGCCGCGGUUAUACAGGCAGAGUUAAAUGUUUUUACUAAUAUCGUUAUUUAUAUAUUUUUUAAUGUGUUUAAUUAAUUAGGUGAAAUUAUUAGUUUUUUAUGGUUUUUAGUAACGUGAAAAUUUAUGAUAAAAAAUAGGAUUAGAUACCCUAUUAUUAUAAAAUGUCAGAUAGAGAGUAAUUUUGAGGUUAUAAAAUCUAAAUAAUUUGGCGGUAUUUUAAGCUUGUUAGAGGAACUUAUUCUUUAAUUGAUAAGACACAAAUAUCUUACUUGAUUUUGUUAAGACAGUUUGUAUAUCGCUAUCAUUUUAUUAUAUUUAAUGAUGAUUGUAGAGAUAAUGGUUUAUUAAUAUGUUAGGUCAAAAUGCAGCUUAAAAUUGAGUGUGAAAUAAGUUACGAGUAUUUAUAUAGGAAAUAGUUGAAAUUUUUAUUGUAGGAUUUAAUAGUAAAUUUUAAUUAUAAUGUUAAUUUGAAAUGAGCUCUGAAAUAUGCACAUAUCGCCCGUCGCUCUCACUCAGUGAGAUAAGUCGUAACAAAGUAAAAGUACCGGAAGGUGUUUU
rnacentral:ncRNA from 1 species